rnacentral:sRNA from 1 species
AAAACAACAACAACAGCAACCCACAAAACGAGACGAAAAGAACAGACAGUGUUUGUGUGUAUGUAGCCUUCUGUGCUGCAGUAAUCAGCGUCGCUGUUGCCGUUGACGUCGUUGUCGACAACAGCCACAGAGCUUGUGAGCCCAACAUGAAAUCCAAUUUGAAAACUUCAGUUACAGUUGGAGCGUAUAGCCAAUCGGUUCGUUUUCUCUGAAGUAACGCUUGCGUGAGUUUUUCGUUCGCGUGUCAUUCCGCCGUGUCGAAGAAAUCGUGUAAAAUACCAGAAAUUCAAUUGGAAAAGUUUUUGAGUGCGUCAAAGCUAUUUCUCGUCUAAUAGAAGCAAAUGACUUAUAGUGAAUCGCGUGACUCUGGGCACUGUAUGAACGCCAUCACCACCACCAUUACCACCAUUGUCGCCUAACUCACACACGCACGAGAUUUAGCGAAAAAACGCCAAAAAAACCCCCCAAAACACCUAGAAAAAGAAAAACAAUUUACCAAUUGCCGGCUCUUUAAACGUGUUUUUGUGCAAAAAUUAAAAAA